CAAUUUUGUAUAGCAAUCAUCACUUCUUUCUUGUUCUAAUCCAUUCAAGAAGAAGGUUAAUCUGUCCUUUUCACUUCUCUUUUUUUUUCAAAUACCCUUUGUUCAAGACUCUUCCUUUAAGAUGGCUUCUAUAUCACCCUUAUCUCAAUCUCAACCCCUUUUGGAGAAACCUCAGUUUACAGUUUUGAACAAGUCUCAAAAUCAGUUUUUUUCAAUACCCUUUUCAAGAUUCACUCAAAGUUGUAAUCUUUCUUUGAAAAAAUCAAGGAUGGUGGUUGUUUCAGCAACAACUGCUGCUGAGAAAUCAAAUAAGAGGUAUCCUGGUGAGG
rnacentral:misc_RNA from 1 species